GUAGCGGCGAGCGAAACGGAACCAGCCCAAACCAACAAGCUUGCUUGUUGGGGUUGUAGGACUCAGCUGUGGUAGCUGUUGUAAGUAGUCGAAUGACCUGGAAAGGUCAGCCGUAGCGGGUAAAAGCCCCGUAGACGAAAUUGACAACACACCUAUGAGUAUCCUGAGUACGGCGGAACACGCGAAAUUCCGUCGGAAUCCGGGAGGACCAUCUCCCAAGGCUAAAUACUCUCUAGUGACCGAUAGUGAACCAGUACCGUGAGGGAAAGGUGAAAAGCACCCCGGAAGGGGAGUGAAAUAGAACCUGAAACCGUAUGCCUACAAGAAGUUAGAGCCCGUUAAUGGGUGAUAGCGUGCCUUUUGCAGAAUGAACCGGCGAGUUACGAUUGCAUGCGAGGUUAAGCUGAAGAAGCGGAGCCGUAGCGAAAGCGAGUCUGAAUAGGGCGAGUGAGUAUGUAGUCGUAGACCCGAAACCAUGUGACCUACCCAUGUCCAGGUUGAAGGUGUGGUAAAACGCACUGGAGGACCGAACCCACGUACGUUGAAAAGUGCGGGGAUGAGGUGUGGGUAGCGGAGAAAUUCCAAACGAACUUGGAGAUAGC
rnacentral:rRNA from 1 species